AAGCAAUGCAAACCUUCAUAUAUUAUUACGCAAAAUCACCUUUGCACAUCCUGAUCCAUCUAUCAAAGCUUCACGCAUCAUACGUAAAUGCAUGCAUGUGCCAACCGUAGCAUUGUUGCCAAUGCAUCUUGCACACCCAAGCAGAAAGAUGUGCAUGGUUUUCUAUAUCACCAGUGUUCUAGCUAACUGACAUGUAUGAAUGAGUGAAUAGAUGCGAUGAUGGGU
rnacentral:precursor_RNA from 1 species